rnacentral:tRNA from 2 species
GCCAGAAUAGCUCAGCGGUAGAGCAACUGUUUUGUAAACAGUAGGUCGGCGGGUCCGAAUCCCCCUUCUGGCU